CAGAAACAUUGUUCUGCAACAGACUACAAAAUAAAUAAAAUUCAUCCAGCUUUUCCUUCAAUAACUGCAACGUGCUGUGAUGGUGAUGGCAGGCACAGUUUCUGCCCUCUCCUGGGAUGCAUCUAGUGGGAGAGACUGAUAAGAGUGGGAACAGGAGAGGGAGCGUGAAGAAGGCUGUGAAAAUGGACAGGAUGGAAGGUCAUUAACAAGAAGCUGAAUAAGAAGUGGAGUAACUAGGACACGAAUCGGCGCCCAUAUGGAAUGCUGGUGUUGCAAGCAGUGGCUGUACCCGCUAUACCACAAUGCUGGCCCCUAAAUGAUCAUGUUUCUAAAAUUGUUUAAGAA